GAUGAACGCUGGCGGCGUGCCUAAUACAUGCAAGUCGAGCGAAUGGAUUAAGAGCUUGCUCUUAUGAAGUUAGCGGCGGACGGGUGAGUAACACGUGGGUAACCUGCCCAUAAGACUGGGAUAACUCCAGGAAACCGGGGCUAAUACCGGAUAAUAUUUUGAACUGCAUGGUUCAAAAUUGAAAGGCGGCUUCGGCUGUCACUUAUGGAUGGACCCGCGUCGCAUUAGCUAGUUGGUGGGGUAACGGCUCACCAAGGCAACGAUGCGUAGCCGACCUGAGAGGGUGAUCGACCACACUGGGACUGAGACACGGCCCAGACUCCUACGGGAGGCAGCAGUAGGGAAUCUUCCGCAAUGGACGAAAGUCUGACGGAGCAACGCCGCGUGAGUGAUGAAGGCUUUCGGGUCGUAAAACUCUGUUGUUAGGGAAGAACAAGUGCUAGUUGAAUAAGCUGGCACCUUGACGGUACCUAACCAGAAAGCCACGGCUAACUACGUGCCAGCCGCCGCUGUAA
rnacentral:rRNA from 1 species